ensembl:lncRNA LINC00113 long intergenic non-protein coding RNA 113
AGUGGCCUGGCUUCCAGCACCAAUGGCAAUUACCUGGAGGAAUGUCCUUAGGACAACCUGGAGGGAGAUUGAGAGCUUGUAAGUUCCAGGGAUGGAAUCCGAGUGAUCGCUAAGGCAAUUCAUAUAUUUUACCCACCUUAGGAUAACUGGUUUAGGAUUGGACAAACAAUCUCAGCUGCUUCAAUCAGACUCACUUCCUUUCAUUCAGAUGGAAGAUGGGAAAACACAAUGCUAUAGACUUUGGAAUAUUGUAUGGGCUCGUAAUCAGCGUACUGAAUUUCAAGCCAUUCCUUGGCCACUCAAUGGCCACUACUAAAUCACACAACCCACCCAACUGGAGAAUUAAAUCAAAUAUCUGGAGCAAUUUAAUGUGCAUGCAUUCGUGGCCACAAAAAUGAAGAUACAAAUAAGUGCUGGAUAUUAGACCUUCGUCAGACACAUAGACCAGUGGAACAGAAUAGAGAACCCAGAAAUUAGAUCACUCAUCUUCAACCAUCCAAUCUUCGACAAACCUGACAAAAAGCAAUGGGGAAAGGACUCCCUGUUCAAUAAAUGGUGCUGGGAGAAAUGGC